AUGAGGGAUGUUUGUGAGCUAGGAGCUAUAGAACUUAGUUUCUAAGCUUGAAGCUAAGAACUUAGUGACUCAGAACUUUGCUAGAGCUUAGAGAAGGCUAAACAGAGAAGUUAAGGAAGAACUCUUUUCUAUUAGUAUAUCUCUUCCUUUGUCUUGGUCUAUCUUGAUCUCUUAGUGGAGAGUUACAUUUAUAGUUUAAUUUAAGGGAGGUAAUUAGCACAUAAUCUCUACUAAAUCUUCCUCAAUUUUCAGAAAAUCCUUAGAGAAUCGUUCCUAGGAUUUUGGCCAAAAGUGGUAAGCUCAGCUUUUAGAAUGUUCUUACUGUUUUGGGUAAUAACAUCUGGGAUUCUGACUAGGUAUUAAAUGCUGAUUGGCCUCAGCUGAUAGGAUUAAAGCAUGUAUUAGGCUAAUGAUUUUGGUUUUGCUGCUACUAGAAUUAGAGCUCCCUAGGGCAAGUUGCAUCACCCCAAGCUAGGUGUCAAUCUUGGAGCCAUUUGCUGGGAACUUUGCUAGAGAUCCCUUUGGUGCCCUUCAAACCACAUUUCCCUAAGUUUCCCCAUUUGGAUUCAUGUGCUUGGUCCAUGAACUAAAAAGUACACAUUUUUGGCAAGAUAAUGAGUUGAUUUCAAGUUGUUCCAGAAGCUUUCAUGGCCUGGUUAUGGCUGCCCUUAGUUCUUGACUGAAUGGGUUGGAGAAGAAAGGAAGGACAUUUGGCUGAAGUUUUCCCUAGCUUUAUGUUACAUGAGAAAUGAUGAAAAUGAACUUAGCAAGGAAGGGUUUAACCCCUGCUGGACAUGUGUCCUUUUCUGAUCUGACUAGUCAAGUUGGAACUAAUGGUGAUGGGCUCCGGUUGUCAGGUUAUACUGAAACUUGACUGGACAACUCACGUGAGCUUCAGCUACUGGGAUUUUCAUGUGAGUUGGGUUGGCUCAGCUAGGCCUUGUAGUUGAGCUUCUAUGGGCUUGUCCAUCUCUACAAGAUGAAUGGUUUUGCCAUGGGUGAUAUACAUGGGCUUUUGUAGUUAGUUGGUUAUGGAAAAAAUAAGCAUAGUUCUCAUAAAUUUUGUAAAAGAAAUAUUUUUGAGAGAUGAGUAAUUUAUAUUUCCCAUGAGUUAGGGACUUUAGUAUAUGAAGAUAUGUUUUUGCCAAGAAAUAGUUUUGGGCUUUUUGAGCAUAAUGUAAUUGUUUUUGCCAAAAUAAUGUUUGGGCUUUUGUAAAUAGGUGCCAAAGUAUUAUUGGGCUUUAUGAGUGGUUGCCAAAAAUAAUACUUGGGUUUUGUAAAUAUGUGCCAAGAUAGUAUUCGGGCCUUGUAAAAAUAGGUGCCAAAAUAGUAUUUGGGUUUUGUAAAAUAAAUGCCAAAAUAAUAUUUGGACUUUGUAAAAUAGGUGGCAAAAUAGCAUUUGGGUUUUGUAAAAUAAGCAUUUGGGUUUUUGUAAAUAAGUGCCAAACUAGCAUUUGGACUUUGUAAAAUAAGUGCCAAAAUAGUAUUUGGGCUUUGUAAAAAUAGGUGCCAAAAUAGUAUUUGGGUUUUGUAAAAUAAGUGCCAAAAUAAUAUUUGGGAUUUGUAAAAUAAGUGCCAAAAUAGCAUUUGGGCUUUUGUAAAUAGGUGCCAAAAUAACAUUUAGGUUUUAUAAAAAAAGUGCCAACAUAGCAUUUGAGCUUUGUAAGAUUUUGUAAAAAUAUUGCCAUGUAGCAACGGGCUAAGAGGUGCCAUGUAGCAACGAACUUUAUAAGAGAGUUUUGUUGGGCCUUUUGGUGAAUGAUUUUGGGCUCUUUUGUGGAGGUAGUAUAAUUUUGUGGCCCAAUUUGGUAGUAAUAGGUAUUUUUGUGGAAAACCCAAGUUGGAUAAUAUGUAGGAUAUAAUGGGUAGUAUUUGUGAGAAGGCCUAAGGUAAUUUAUAAGGCUUGUAUAGGGAAUAUUUGUGGGAGCCCAAUAACAUGGAGAAUAUUUGAGUAAUAAUAUGGGAAAUAUUUAUGUGGGCUCAAAAUAGCUUAUGGGCUUGUGUAGGUAUUUUUUGGUGAGUGGGCUAAUGAAAUUAGGGCCCGAUAUUUGUACCUCAACAUUUAGCCCCUCGAGUCACGUAUGAGCAGUUUUUGUUUGGUCAUAUGUGCAAGUUUAAAAUUUUGGUGGCAGUUGUGAAUAGUGGGCUUUUGCAACUUUCCCAUAUUCAACACUUGGUGGGUUUUCAGUUAUUCCCCAGGUUUCUUGCAUUAAAUGCUAGUCUCUUCCUCAUGUCUUGUCAUUUGCAACUUUCACGUUUACCAGUAAAAGGCCUACCUUGGUUACUCCUUUUAUUUUUGCUUGGAUCGAAAAAUAAAAAGAUUAAGGCAGAGAGAAAUAUCCUUUUCUUCUUCUUCUUCUUCUUCUUAUUUUCGGCCAAGGGUGAGAGCGUAACACCAACUUCAACCAAGGUAGAGAGAGUGACUGAGAUUUUCAGCAAAGCAGAGGGAGAAACAGAGCCUUUUCUUCCUCCCUUUUCUUGUCUUCGACCAAGAGUGAGAGAAAUAGAGAGCUUCGGUCAGGGUUAGGAGGGAAAUUGAGUUUUUCUUUCUUUCCUUGUUGAUUUCAGCCAAGUGAGAGAAAGACCCAUAAUUUCUUUUAUUUCCUGUUGUGGCCGUGGGUGUUCUUCUGCCUCUUUUUGCUUCUGAGAAAAUAAUAUUUUUGCUUUGUGAGUUAUGGCUAAAAUAGAAAAACAAGUGGGUUCUGGUGAUGCUAGUACCACUGGGUGACUGUGCUAGGAAGCGAGGUUGUGGCUGGGGGCGAAGCUGAGGCUGUUGCCGUGGGUGCUGUUGCAGAGGCUAGGCAAGGAAAGCCUUUGUUACUAUUGCAAGACCCAUGGUAUUGCUCAACUUCUCUGUUUCCAGCAGUUGGGGUUCCUAAGGUUAGCCCGCUUGGUGUGCCAAAGAAGUGGAUUUUGAAGGGUGAAGCCCCCAGUCAUGAGACAACAUGGGUUCCAGCCACUUCUGGUAUAAUUGACUUGCGGUUCCAGCAGAAAGAACUCCUGCCAGCACCUAUUCAAUUUUUAUGUCUCUGUGGCACAACCGUUAGUUGGCCUGGUUGGGUAGAGCAAGAGGUUGCAGAUGAAGGAUUCUACUACAUUCUUAGGAAUGCCAAGAUUUUCGAAGCUGUAGUUGUGUCUUGUGGGUGGAACAUGUAUAGAGAUAUGAGAACACUUCGAUUUUUGGUAUGUCAUUGGAAUCCAGAUACCUACACUUUCUUUUUUCCUUGGGGUGAGACUAUAGUUACCCUUGAAGAUGUGGAAAGGAUUUGCUUGCUGCCUUGCAUGGGAGAUAUGAAUCCACCGAAGCUUAGGUUGUCUGAUGAGGAGUCUACGAUUGCUAGAAAGCUGCUGGAGACUUUUGGAUGUACUUCUACAUCUUGGUCAGGUAAUAGAGCCAGGUUCUCCUUUUGGAUUUCUAAGUUUAGAGAAUCUGAGGAUUUUGAUACAAGAAGGGUUGCAUUCUUAGCUUUGUGGAUGAGUAAAUGUGUGUUUAAUUUUGACCCAUGACAGUUUAUGAAGCCUUUCACGUUUCCUCUAGUCGUAGUAUUAAGUAGAGGCGUGUCCUUGCCUUUAGGUACCCUUUAUUCUAAGCUUGAUAGAUUAUGUAAUGAUGAGCUUGAAGGGUUUCCAUACCACAUUAUUGAAUCUAGUGUCAAUGUAGUAUUGUUGCAAACCAUCAUAUGGGAGCAUUCGAAAGAUUAUAUUGAUGUUGGUAAAGAUGUUGGUGAUGUGAAGAUGGCCAAUUGGGUGGUCAGAGCUGUGGGGCCCAAUGGUGAGCUUUAAUUUCUUGGUUUUGAAGAUGGUCUUCCUUUGCUUAUGAAGUGGAUAGGGUUGAAGGUUUGGAAUCUUCCUUCAGUCACACUACUGGAUGAUGGGGCUCACUUCGCUUGGAAGCCCUAUUCUUAUGUUGCUGCUAGGUUUUGUUGUCCAAACCCUUUUCCAAAUGCCAGGCCCUGAUCUCAAGAGUUUGGAUUGAAUGAUCAUGAGAAGAUUCCCAAUUUCUUGCUUAUUACAUCCCCUUCAUACAUCCCAUAUCCAAGUGGUGCCAGGUUUGAUUUGACACAAUAUAACCCCUAUAGAAUUUUAAGGCAAUUCAGGUUUGAUAAAGAUUUCCUGGACAUCAAUGCCAUAGGAUGUCCUUUGAGUGAUGCAAUGAAGCCAUUGGUUCAUAGUACAACAUUGGAGUAUUAGGCUAGCAAAGUGGAGAGAGUCUUGGUUCUGAGUAGGCAUCAUGAGGGGUAUGCUACUUCAAACAUGAAGUUGUAUUGGAGGAAGAUCAUGAGCAGCUUUGUUGAUUAUGUGAGUAGCCAAGAGGUUAAACAAGUAGUGAUAAGUCCUCCUUUGAGAAAGCCUUCUACCAAUGCUUGGCUUAUUCCGAAUACCAGGGCAGCUACGACAUGGGCUACUAGAUAGAAUUUGGGAUUUGCUGAAUGGCGAGCUGACCUUAAUGGCUGGGUGGUUCAUAGGGGCGAUGUUCCCUUAGAAUGGAGUGAGAAAAAUGUCAUAGUAAGAGCCCCCGAGUCUAAUCCAGCCAUUGAUGCCCUAAAGAGAUCUCGUGGCAAAUCACCUUCUUCUGAAGACAAGCCCAAAAAGGUGAGACGUAGGAGAGUAAGUGCCGAGAAGCCCAAGGCUAGUAGUCCCAAGCCCCUAGCUGUUGUUCAAUCUGGUUCUAGUGCAACUCCAGCCACUAAGUCCAGUGUCUCAACUGCUACCUUUACUAGUACACCCUCAUCGUUGAAGCAAUACAGAAGGAAAACUAAUGCUGGCAAAGUGCAGAUUCUUGAGUCUUCAGAGGAGGUAUCAUUAUAGAGCCCUUAUCUUCUUACAUCAUUUCUAUCUUUUUUUCUUUUCUUCUUUGCCUUCAUUCUUGGUGCUAACUACAUGUUUUUAUGGCUGCAACAGUCUGGUGAUAGUGAGGGGACACAAUUGGAUGAGUAUAAUUUUGAGUAUACAGCUGUUGACUUUGGUAAACUAUUGUUCCUCGCUUCGAUUUCUUCUCGCGUUUCCUCUCCUGACGUCCGUUAUUCUCUAGGUCCAACUAAUGAAGAUAUAGAGAUGGUUGGCGAGAGUCUCGAUGUUGCUGUCACUGCUAGAGAGAAUGCUGCUGAGAUGCUUGGUCAAGAACAUGCUAGCAAGGAUCCUGAGGUCACUGCUGGAGAAGCUACUGUUGGAAUGCCCAACAAGGAACAUGCUGGCAAGAGUCCUGAUGUCACGGUUAUUGCUGGAGAGGCUGUUGCUGGUGUGCCCAGCCAAAGACAUGUUGUUUCUUCGCCAAUCCAUGAUAUUCACCAAAGCAAAGAACCCCCAAGUAUGAUGUCUUUGAGUUAUUUACACUUAGUAAAACGAGUUUCUUGUUCAAUAAUACUUGGCUGCAUGAGUGAUUUCUGUUACUGCUGGAGAUAUAAUCAUGCUUCUUUUUGCAGAUUUGCAAAGUGAAUCUUCUAGUGCUGCUAUCUAG
rnacentral:sRNA from 1 species